rnacentral:rRNA from 1 species
UCCCCUAGUAACGGCGAGUGAAGCGGGAAGAGCUCAAAUUUGAAAUCUGGCGGUCUAAGGCCGUCCGAGUUGUAAUCUAGAGAGGUGUUUUCCGUGCCGGACCGUGUACAAGUCCCUUGGAACAGGGCGUCAUAGAGGGUGAGAAUCCCGUCCAUGACACGGACUCCCGGUGCUCUGCGAUACACCUUCAAAGAGUCGAGUUGUUUGGGAAUGCAGCUCAAAAUGGGUGGUAAAUUCCAUCUAAAGCUAAAUACAGGCGAGAGACCGAUAGCGAACAAGUACCGUGAGGGAAAGAUGAAAAGAACUUUGGAAAGAGAGUUAAACAGUACGUGAAAUUGUUGAAAGGGAAACGCUUGAAGUCAGUCGCGUCUGUCGAGACUCAGCCUYGCUUCUGCUYGGUGCAUUUCUCGGCAGAUGGGCCAGCAUCAGUUUUGGGCGCGGGAUAAAGGCGUGGGGAAUGUGGCAGCCUCGGCUGUGUUAUAGCCUCACGUCACACGCCGCGCCUGGGACUGAGGACUGCAUUUUUAGGAUGCUGGCGAAAUGGCUUUAAACGACCCGUCUUGAAACACGGACCAAGGAGUCUAACAUGCCUGCGAGUGUUUGGGUGGAAAACCCUUGCGCGUAAUGAAAGUGAAAAGUUGGGACUCUUUGGUGAGGCACCGACGCCCGAUCCUGACGUUCUCCGACGGAUUUGAGGCAGAGCAUGUAUGUUGGGACCCGAAAGAUGGUGAACUAUGCCUGAAUAGGGUGAAGCCAGAGGAAACUCUGGUGGAAGCUCGUAGCGAUUCUGACGUGCAAAUCGAUCGUCAAAUUUGGGUAUAGGGGCGAAAGACUAAUCGA